rnacentral:lncRNA from 1 species
GCGCAAAAAUAAUUACAUCGAAUGCGAUAAUCUCCAACUUGAUAUAAACUUCAUAUUGUUGUUUAUAAUUAAUUAACUUCUUUGAACAACGAAUUUGAAAUCAAGAUUACAAAUUAACACUCCUACAAAAUACUCAUUAGCUGACAAUUAAACCCAGAAACGUCAUAUAUAGAGAGAACCCCAAGGGGUUUGUUGAGUUGUCAACGGGCCGCUUAUAAAAGGCUUACUCCCGUGAGCUCACAGGUUCAAUUCCUCUCACCAACAACACUUGGGGCCACCUCCUUGUACUUGCAAGCAUGCGGAAAUAGCUGUAGGGAUUUAGUCUGGUGUGCAAGCCGAGGAUACCUUGCAUUACAGAGAGAGAGUGAGAGUCCACUUAGAAGCAUCUUGAUUUGAAAAAAUGUUCAAAGAGAAAAAUAUAACAAAAUUUAAGGACAAGGAAACACAAUAUUUCAGUGUGCAGAUUCUUCAACUUCCAAUUCUACCGAUCUUCUGCUGAGCUAGGUCUUUUGGCACCCACUAGCCCUAAUAAGGCGAGUUCGGUUCCAUGAGCCCUUUACGACCCCAUCUACUUUCUUCUCUAUUGCAGCUACUUUUUGUGUGCAAAGGCGAUCAUCGCAGCCUAGAGCUACCUUAUCUUCAAUCUCUCUCCAAAAUCCUACUCUUUCCUUGACAGUAAUUUUACAGACACAGAAACCAAAUUCACUACUGGCCACAAAACAUAAAUAUAUAUAUGGACAUGAUCAUAUUUAUAUAUAAAAAUUUUUUUGAAAUAAAACCUUGUCCGUAUAUGUAUUAUCUGUAAUCAGUUCUGUGGGCUAUUUAUUUUUGUGUCCUUAGAAUUACUAUUUUUUCUCAACAUUCAUGGCUUUCGUUAUCCAACGAACCAAUAUCAGAUAAAGUUGGAUAACAAAAGCCAUCGAUGUGAUGUGCGUGAUGUGCAACAACGAAUCUAUGUAUUAAAGUUACAAACAGCUAAUAGCCUGCGAUGCAUCGCCUUUGCUCACAACAAAGUUGGAGAGGAAAGAAAAAGAAAGAUAGACAUGUUUCGUGAAGAGUUAAGAAGAAACCGGACUGACCUUAUUAGGGUUAAUGAGUGUCUUUUGAGCUAUUAUAGCCAUGUGUAGAAGGUGUAUAUAUAGACAGAAUUAAGUUCAAAGGCUCAAAAAGAGGGUUGAAUAAUUGGGUGAUCUACUAAAUUUAGUGACUGUUAGGUAAGACAAUAAUUGAUCAACUUGGAGGGAGAGAGGUUCAUGCAUCCCUCCAAUUAACUUCCCUUUUUCAAGGACACAUGACAGUCACUACCAAGAGCAUA